rnacentral:rRNA from 1 species
CGUAGGUGGCAAGCGUUGUCCGGAUUUAUUGGGUUUAAAGGUGCGUAGGCGGUUUUCUAAGUCAGCAGUGAAAUACGGCAGCUCAACUGUCGAGGUGCUGUUGAUACUGGGGAACUUGAGUACUGAUGAGGUAGGCGGAAUGGACGGUGUAGCGUGAAAUGCUUAGAGAUCGUCCAGAACACCGAUAGCGAAGGCAGCUUACUAAGGAGUAACUGACGCUGAGGCACGAAAGUGUGGGGAUCAAACAGGAUUAGAUACCCUGGUAGUCCACACUGUAAACGAUGAUUACUCGAUGUGUGCGAUACACAGCACGCGUCUUAGCAAAUGCGAUAAGUAAUCCUCCUGGGGAGUACGCCGGCAACGGUG